GUAGGUGGCAAGCGUUGUCCGGAAUUAUUGGGGCGUAAAGCGCGCGCAGGUGGUUCUUUAAGUCUGAUGUGAAAGCCCCCGGGCUCAACCGGGGGAGGAUCAUUGGAAACUGGGGAACUUGAGUGCAGGAGAGGAAAGUGGAAUUCCACGUGUAGCGGUGAAAUGCGUAGAUAUGUGGAGGAACACCAGUGGCGAAGGCGACUUUCUGGCCUGUAACUGACACUGAGGCGCGAAAGCGUGGGGAGCAAACAGGAUUAGAUACCCUGGUAGUCCACGCCGUAAACGAUGAGUGCUAAGUGUUGGGGGGGUUUCCGCCCCUCAGUGCUGCAGCUAACGCAUUAAGCACUCCGCCUGGGGAGUACGGUCGCAAAGACUG
rnacentral:rRNA from 1 species